rnacentral:rRNA from 1 species
UCGAACGGGGGCGUGAUGUGCGAGAGGGAUAGUUUACUAGACUUCAACUUUUCACGCCCUAGUGGCGGACGGGUGAGUAACGCGUGGGUAACCUGCCAUAUACAGGGGGAUAACACUUAGAAAUAGGUGCUAAUACCGCAUAAGCGCACAGGGGCGCAUGCCCCGGUGUGAAAAACUCCGGUGGUAUAUGAUGGACCCGCGUCUGAUUAGCCAGUUGGCAGGGUAACGGCCUACCAAAGCGACGAUCGGUAGCCGGCCUGAGAGGGCGGACGGCCACAUUGGGACUGAGACACGGCCCAAACUCCUACGGGAGGCAGCAGUGGGGGAUAUUGCACAAUGGGGGAAACCCUGAUGCAGCGACGCCGCGUGAGUGAAGAAGUAUUUCGGUAUGUAAAGCUCUAUCAGCAGGGAAGAAAAUGACAGUACCUGACCAAGAAGCCCCGGCUAACUACGUGCCAGCAGCCGCGGUAAUACGUAGGGGGCAAGCGUUAUCCGGAUUUACUGGGUGUAAAGGGAGCGUAGACGGUUAUGUAAGUCUGGAGUGAAAGCCCGGGGCCCAACCCCGGGACUGCUUUGGAAACUGUGUAACUGGAGUACAGGAGGGGCAGGCGGAAUUCCUGGUGUAGCGGUGAAAUGCGUAGAUAUCAGGAGGAACACCGGCGGCGAAGGCGGCCUGCUGGACUGAAACUGACGUUGAGGCUCGAAAGCGUGGGGAGCAAACAGGAUUAGAUACCCUGGUAGUCCACGCCG